UGUCGUCAGCUCGUGUCGUGAGAUGUUGGGUUAAGUCCCGCAACGAGCGCAACCCUUUUCCUUAUUUGCCAGCGGGUUAAGCCGGGAACUUUAAGGAUACUGCCAGUGACAAACUGGAGGAAGGCGGGGACGACGUCAAGUCAUCAUGGCCCUUACGACCAGGGCUACACACGUGCUACAAUGGUCGGUACAAAGGGUUGCUACCUAGCGAUAGGAUGCUAAUCUCAAAAAGCCGAUCGUAGUCCGGAUUGGAGUCUGCAACUGGACUCCAUGAAGUCGGAAUCGCUAGUAAUCGCGGAUCAGAAUGCCGCGGUGAAUACGUUCCCGGGCCUUGUACACACCGCCCGUCACACCAUGGGAAUUUGUUGCACCAGAAGUAGGUAGUCUAACCGCAAGGAGGACGCUUACCACGGUGUGGCCGAUGACUGGGGUGAAGU
rnacentral:rRNA from 1 species